GACGAACCGUGCGAACGUUGUUCGGAAUCACUGGGCUUAAAGGGCGCGUAGGCGGGCUCGCCAGUCAGGGGUGAAAGGCCCACGGCUCAACCGUGGAAGUGCCUUUGAUACUGCGAGUCUCGAGGGAGGUAGGGGCGUGCGGAACUUCCGGUGGAGCGGUGAAAUGCGUAGAGAUCGGGAGGAACACCAGUGGCGAAGGCGGCUACCUGGACCAGCACUGACACUGAGGCACGAAAGCGUGGGGAGCAAACAGGG
rnacentral:rRNA from 1 species